AAUAAAGUGCCUGAUUAAAGGAUUAUCUUGAUAGGAUAAAUAAAGUGAUUUUAUCAUCACCUUUAUUA
rnacentral:tRNA from 1 species